rnacentral:pre_miRNA from 1 species
AGUGCAAUUGCUGGGUCGUAUGGUAGUUCCAAGUUUAGUUUUGUAAGAAACUGCCAAACUCUCUUUCAGAACUGCUAUACCAUUUGAUAAUCCUACCAGCAAU